UAAAAGAAAUCUAAAAAACUUGUGUAAAAGUGAAAAUAACAUAAAUUUGGCCACGUGGACUGCCACGUCAACAGUGCAACCGAUUCUCGUGCGUCGCAUUGCAUACACAUGUCCACGCGGGCAAUCCGCUUGCUAAAGGAUCCAACAGAUCCAGAUCUCCUUCCACAUGCACGGACGGCCCAGAUUUAUUUUCUCUUCAGGCGCAAUCGAACAGUCAGAUUUAAUUCGAUCAUGCGGCCCAAAUUAGUUUCCCAAAUAAGAGUGAUCUGAUGGCUGGGAGUGAGUCAUGUGUCCUUGUACGGAUGGCCCAGAUCAACACAGAGAGGGCAUUUAAACAUCAC
rnacentral:lncRNA from 1 species